UACGGAGGGUGCAAGCGUUAAUCGGAAUUACUGGGCGUAAAGGGCGCGUAGGCGGCCUGCUAAGUCGAACGUGAAAUCCCUGGGCUCAACCCAGGAACUGCGUCCGAUACUGGUUGGCUUGAAUCCGGGAGAGGGACGUGGAAUUCCAGGUGUAGCGGUGAAAUGCGUAGAUAUCUGGAGGAACACCGGUGGCGAAGGCGACGUCCUGGACCGGCAUUGACGCUGAGGCGCGAAAGCCAGGGGAGCAAACGGG
rnacentral:rRNA from 1 species